rnacentral:rRNA from 1 species
UCGCUCUUCAACGAGGAAUCCCUAGUAAGCACAAGUCAUCAGCUUGUGUUGAUUACGUCCCUGCCCUUUGUACACACCGCCCGUCGCUACUACCGAUUGAAUGGCUUAGUGAGACCUUCGGAUUGGCAUUUGGAAGUUGGCAACAGCCUCUGUUUGCUGAGAAGUUGGUCAAACUUGGUCAUUUAGAGGAAGUAAAAGUCGUAACAAGGUUUCCGUAGGUGAACCUGCGGAAGGAUCAUUAAUGAUUUUUAAAGCAAACCUUUUUUUUAAUAAAAAAGUAGUUUGCGAACAUAUUUAAAACCCCACUCUUUUAAAAAAAUUCUUAUUCAUAUUCAUGAAUAAAAAAAGAUCACUUUCAACAACGGAUCUCUUGGCUCUCGCAUCGAUGAAGAACGCAGCGAAAUGCGAUAAGUAGUGUGAAUUGCAGAUGUAUACGUGAAUCAUCGAAUCUUUGAACGCAAAUUGCACUCCCUGGUAUUCCGGGGAGUAUGCCUGUUUGAGGGUCGCCUAAAUAACAACAUCGAUUAGCGUUGCCUUUCUUUCGAAAGGUAAUGUUUUAUCGGAUUUGAGCCUUCUUUAUCAUUCUUUAACGAGAAACGAAGUGGCUUAAAAUUCAUUUUUUUUUGGUAUCAUCGAAAACGUAUUUUACGAUCAAUUUUUGAUUCAAGGAAACGUUUCGGAUGCCACCCUUUUUAAAUGUAAUACGUUUUGACUAUGUGAAAUCUAGUUCAAUUCGUAUACGAUUCUUUUUCAUUUUUUGACCUCAAAUCAGGUAAGAGUACCCGCUGAACUUAAGCAUAUCAAUAAGCGGAGGAAAAGAAAAUAACAAUGAUUCCCUUAGUAACUGCGAGUGAAGAGGGAUAAGCUCAAAUUUUAAAUCUGUUUGGUUUUACUGAACAGAGUUGUAAUUGAAGAAACGUGUUCUGCGUCUUGAGUUAAUCAAAAUCCUCUGGAAUGGGGUAUCAUGGAGGGUGACAAUCCCGUUCAUGUUUAAUUCUCAGGUGCUUUAUGAUACGUUUUCGAAGAGUCGAGUUGUUUGGGAUUGCAGCUCAAAAUGGGAGGUAAAUUUCUCCUAAAGCUAAAUAUUGGCGAGAGACCGAUAGCGAACAAGUACCGUGAGGGAAAGAUGAAAAGAACUUUGAAAAGAGAGUUAAAUAGUACGUGAAAUUGUUGAAAGGGAAACGAUUGAAGUCAGUCGUACCAACGGGAAAUCAACCUUUCGAGCGGGGUUUUGGGGUUUCAAAGAGUUUCAAAGCCUUUGGGAUUUUAAAAUUUCUUCUCUUCUGGUGUACUUUCUCGUAGGUAGGUCAACAUCGAUUUUGAACAUCAUAAAAAGACUGGAGGAAUGUAGCUUCGAUCUCGUAUUGAAGUGUUAUAGACUUUGGUAAAUGUGAUGAUCAAGAUCGAGGAUUGCAACGAAUAUCCUUUUGGGCUAUUCGUCUGAUCUCUGAUCGUUGCCUUGGUAUCGAAAGCUUGCUUAUGAUAUUAAGGUAUUACGGUCAAAAGGUUAGAACGGAUUACAUUCGUUAAGGAUGUUGACGUAAUGGCUUUAAACGACCCGUCUUGAAACACGGACCAAGGAGUCUAACAUGUAUGCGAGUGUU